GGGUGUGUAGCUCAGUUGGUAGAGCAGCUGACUCUUAAUCAGCGGGUCCACGGUUCGAGCCCGUGCACACCCA
rnacentral:tRNA from 1 species